GCCGCAGACCGCGGGAGAGCGUCUGCGCGGAGCCCCAGCGCAGCCCCGGCGGGACCGCUGCCGCCGCCGUAACGCGAGCAACAGCUUCCCAGCUGGAGGAGCCACUGCCCCACGCGCCGGCGGCCCGCGCGCCGAGAUGUUCUGCAUUUCAGCUUCAUCAAAGAUUAAAUUGAUGUUUAUGGGCUAAACCGGACACCUAAAAAUAAUUUGUUUCACUACAUCUAUAAGAAAAUAUGUUCAAGUUCACACUGACUGACUUAUAAAGGGGCUUUUGGAAUACAACCCAAUGUAUGAAGUACUCCUUCAGCCCUGACAACUACCCUGAAGAUGGAAUUAUGAAUAUGGCAACUUUUCUACGGGGCUUUGAAGAAAAGGGGAUAAAGAGUGACAGGCCUGAGGACCAGCUGAGUAAAGAGAAAAAGAAGAUUUUGUUCUCCUUCUGUGAGGUGUGCAACAUCCAGCUAAACUCGGCAGCCCAGGCCCAAGUCCAUUACAACGGCAAAUCCCACCGCAAACGCGUCAAGCAGCUGAGUGAUGGGCAGCCCCCGCCGCCCGCCCAGGGCCCAGGGCCACUGCUGGCCAGCCCCAGCCCCAGCGCCAGCGCCAGCGC